AUUGAACGCUGGCGGCAUGCUUUACGCAUGCAGGUCGAACGGUAACGCGGGGCAACCUGGCGACGAGAGGCGAACGGGUGAGUAAUGCAUCGGAACGUGCCCGGUAGGGGGGGAUAACUGCUCGAAAGAGCAGCUAAUACCGCAUACGACCUGAGGGUGAAAGGGGGGGAUUGGAAGACGGACGGGUCUUGGAGCGGCCGGUGUCGGAUUAGCUAGUUGGUGGGGUAAGGGCCCACCAAGGCGACGCUCCGUAGCUGGUCUGAGAGGACGACCAGCCACACUGGGACUGAGACACGGCCCAGACUCCUACGGGAGGCAGCAGUGGGGAAUUUUGGACAAUGGACGCAAGUCUGAUCCAGCCAUGCCGCGUGCGGGAAGAAGGCCUUCGGGUUGUAAACCGCUUUUGUCAGAGAAGAAAUCUUCUGGGUUAAUACCUCGGGAGGAUGACGGUAUCUGAAGAAUAAGCACCGGCUAACUACGUGCCAGCCGCCGCAGUAAUAC
rnacentral:rRNA from 1 species